rnacentral:lncRNA from 1 species
UCAAUCUAAUGGAUAACAACUAUCAUAAUCAUAACUUUGUACAGGCAGUUUCGUCUGUUUAAAAAAGUGGAUUAAACCUGGUGUAACUUAUUCACAAAAAAACAAAUCGAGAUGGUUUAUAUUUUACUUGUUGAUCUAUUUAUCAUAGCGAGCAUGUUUUAGUGUUAUAAAUAUUAUAUUUCACCGAAAAAAAUAUGGGUUUGAGUAUAUAUCUAUAAUUGUUUAAUAGAGAUAUAUGUGGCAUGCAUAUUGCUUAAUGUACUUUACUCAGUUAUUUAUUACUUUUAGAAGGAAGUGUCAUCAUCUCUUGAUUGGCGAACAGUAAUACAGAUUGACCAUGCGAAGUAUUUCACCUGAAAUUACUUCGAAGGACUAACGAGUAGUUAUCUAUAGAUUGUUAAUCAUCAGAUCUUCUGUGAUUGUAUUGCGUUAAGGAUGUUCAAAUAUAGACCACUCGGGUAUCAAAAUGAGACAUUAUUUGGAGAAACAAGCCCCAUUUGCUGUACAAUUAGUUACAUAAAUGUCAUUACUUUAUGAAAUUAUUCUUAAUUGUUUUGCAAAUCCACAUUUUGUACUUUCAAGCUUUUCUUCAAAUUAAUAUCUUUUGUUAUCCUAUUAUCCUAAUGUUUUUGAACUUCUUUAAUCACUUGAUACACUCUUUUACACUUUUCAAAAGAGAUCAAGACAGUACAAAUACUUUAUUCUCUAAAAACUAAAUGCAAGAUCAAAUACGUCAACAUACAAAAAAUGUAAUGAAUAGGUCUUAAACACACAUUAUGAUCACCCCAUAUAUACCAAGUGUUAGAUUAUUUUAUUGAUAUUAAAGAAAUUUCUUGGUAUUCCUAAAAGAAAAAAUUUAUACACACAGACGAUCAAGUAUACGUAUUGACAAAAUUAUUUUUCAUUUACCUGUGUAGGAUAUGACGCAGCUUUUUUCAAAAGUGAUAAUUUUCUAUAAAUUGUUUGAUAUUUAACAGUGGUAUCUUAUUUUAACUUUGUUAAACUGUUAAUUAACAUUUGACCUUAAUUAUUAAUCCCUUAUAUAUUUUAUUACCUAUGAAUUUGCAUUCAGGUAUCGACGAUCAAAUGUAUUCGUUCAUUGUGUGUUAAUUUGCAUUUUUUGAUUGAGGUAAGCCUUCCGAUUGAUAUUUUAUAGUGUGUUUUUCUAUGUUGUAAUGUUAUACUAUUGUUUUAGAAAAGGGAGAGGGUUUAGUACCACUAAAACGUUUAAUCCCGCUGCAAAUAUUUGCACCUGUCUUAAGUCAGGAAUCUGAUGUACAGUAGUUAUUUGUCUGUUUAUGUAGUUCAUACCUGUUUUACGUUUCUCGUUUUUAUAUAUAUUAGACGGUUGGUUUUCCCGUUUGAAUGGUUUUACAUUACUAGGUUUUGGGGCCCUUUAUAGCUUGCUGUUAGGUGUGAGCCAAGGCUCCGUGUUGAAGGCCGUAUAUUGACCUAUAAUGGUUUACUUCUAUAAAUUGUUAGUUGGAUAGAGAGUCUCAUUGACACUCAUAUCACAUCUAUCUAUAUCUAUUAUGUUCUUUUUUUCAAAGGUUCAAAUCUGCAUUUGCUUAAACUUGUUUAUUACAUAUAACAUUCUUGAAUGGAUAAUAUAGAUAAAAAACAAUAUUUGAGUAUACACCAACCUGGCAUCCUCAUUUUUUUUAAAGUAAAAAAAAAAAUAUCUUCAACACUGAAAUAAGGUCUUUAUCAUAUGGCAAUUUGAUUUGUGGUUUUCUUCUUGGUCUUUACCCUACUUAUUGUCCUUAUUAUCUAUUAGAACAAGUAUUUGACCAAACAAAUAUGAUAUGAGUCCUACAUGGAUGCUGUAUAAGUACAUGUACACCAUUGACUUGACGUAUUUGUGUUUAUUAUAUGUUUUUGUGUUUUUCUUUUAGAUUGGAAAAUAGGAAAUCUGCUAUUUAUUUUUACUUUUAUUCUUAUGGGCAAAUUUCCAAAACAGAUAAAUGAUUUCUUUAGUGUGCAUUUAAGUCAGUCGAUAAGACAUGUUGUGUAUACAUGGUAUAUCACAUAAUAUUUUUUUUUUUUUUUUUAAUAAUCUAUUUGUCACUGUACAGAACAAGACUGUCACAGUCAAUACAACAUGAUGUACAUAAUUUAUACCUUUAAGAAAUUAAAUAGGGUAUCCCCAUUAACAUGAUUUUAUUAGAGACAAGAGUAUAUUAAAUAGAUAUAUGUAACUAAUGUUUAUUAUUUAGUUCAUUU